rnacentral:rRNA from 1 species
UACAGAGGGGGCAAGCGUUGUUCGGAAUUACUGGGCGUAAAGGGCGCGUAGGCGGCCCGCUAAGUCGAACGUGAAAUCCCCAGGCUCAACCUGGGAACUGCGUCCGAUACUGGCAGGCUUGAAUCCGGGAGAGGGAUGUGGAAUUCCAGGUGUAGCGGUGAAAUGCGUAGAUAUCUGGAGGAACACCGGUGGCGAAGGCGACAUCCUGGACCGGUAUUGACGCUGAGGCGCGAAAGCCAGGGGAGCAAACGGG